GAUGAACGCUGGCGGCGUGCCUAAUACAUGCAAGUCGAGCGAACGGACGAGAAGCUUGCUUCUCUGAUGUUAGCGGCGGACGGGUGAGUAACACGUGGAUAACCUACCUAUAAGACUGGGAUAACUUCGGGAAACCGGAGCUAAUACCGGAUAAUAUUUUGAACCGCAUGGUUCAAAAGUGAAAGACGGUCUUGCUGUCACUUAUAGAUGGAUCCGCGCUGCAUUAGCUAGUUGGUAAGGUAACGGCUUACCAAGGCAACGAUGCAUAGCCGACCUGAGAGGGUGAGCGGCCACACUGGAACUGAGACAGGGUCCAGCCUCCUCGGGGAGGCAGCAGUGGGGAUUUUUCGGCAAGGGGCGAAAGCCUGCGGGAGCAACGCCGGGGGAGUGAUGAAGGUCUUCGGUUGGUAAACCUUUUUUAUUAGGAAAAAAAAUAUGUGAAAUAAUGUGGCCACGUCUUGACGGUCCCAAAACAAAAAGCCACGGCUAACUCCGUC
rnacentral:rRNA from 1 species